AAUAUUAUAUUGUUUAUAUAUAUAUAUAUAUAUAUAUAUAUGUAUUAUGUGUAUAACAUAUAACUCAUAUAAGUACAUACCUCGCACGUAGGUAUGUUAUUAAUAAUAAUAAUAAAUCUGGUAGUCACUAAUCCUCCGCGUCGGAUCGCCGACAGACCCGAGUCCGAGAUUUCCUACAUCGAUUAUUCUUAUAAUAUCCUCGUUUACAACGGACUUAAGACUUCACUAUUUCAGAGAGUGCCCAACCGACCACCACCGCCAGUAUGACCAUUGACGAUUUGAUAUUUGAAUUAUUAAUUUACUAUUGUGAAUUACAAUCGCCGUAAUAGUCAACUGUAGGCUAUGGGUACGUCCCACCAAGAUUUAAGAUAAUAUUAUCUUAAAUCGUGUGUCCCGCGAAUUAACAUUGUAAUAAGUAAUAACUAAUAUAUUAUAAUAUCUUUAACCGUGGUCCAUCCACUCCAUCCGUCCAGUGUCCCACCGUAUUACCGUAAAACGGUAAAAGACUUAAGACAUUAUUAUUUAUUAUUAUCAAUAGAAAAAAAAACAUUUGUCUGUUAUCAACACUUACUUGAUGUUACGAACGGUUUCAACCAGCGUCGGGCUACCCACAGGCAAAAUAAUCAGGUGAUUGGAGCAGCGAAUUUGGCCCACUUAAAAAAUAAAAAAUAAAAUAUAUUUAUAAUAUUGUAAUAUAAUUUUAUACGACGGCAAAUAGCGUAAUCCGCCACUGUUUUCAACAACACCACUAUUCCAAAAUCCACUAUUAACCAUCACGCCCCCCCAACCACUCCUACCGUAGAAUAAGCGUGCAACAGCAACAGCUGUUAUGAUGAUCGAACAGGAACGGACCGAAUAUUACCUGAUAAUUUAAUCUAUUCUGUGAUAAUGAUAAGUGAGUUGAUAUGCACCAGCCACCAACCCGUACGAACCGACGUCUACCUACACCCGGGCUGCUGAUAUGUUACGCAAAUUCGUAACUAGACAACGGAGCUUGUCUUGGACAAAAAUCAUAAUAGCUUCUGCAAUAGGAGUGCUUGGUGGAGUGUACGUUUGGAAGCCGUUUUUCGAAUCUUUGGACACCGAACGUUACAAGAAAAUUAAGGAAGAAUGAAUAAGAACACAAAAACAACACAACCUGGUGGUCCACUCGCUGGUAAUUUCAACAAAAUUCUAGCGUUUGUUGGUUUUGGAUGGCUUGCAUCCAUGGUGCUUGUUAGAUACGUAAUAAAACCAUAUAGAAUAGAAGCAAGGAUGAAAGAAAAUGAAAUACUUAUGAAUCAACUUUAUGAAAAACAAAAUUCACAAGAAAAUAAAAAAAGUGAAUUUGAUGAUGAAAAUUAUUAAUGUUAUAUCAAUGUUUUCAACUUUUUUGGUAUCUACUCAUGUUUUGUUGUAUAGUAAAUACAUUUAGUUGAAUAUUUUUAUUUAUAAAUGUACAUUAAAUGUUAUAGCCAUUUAGAAUCAAAUGGUAUAUCUCAUGUAAAUGAUUAAAUUAAUAAAUAAAUAAAAUUAUUUUCUUUUUUUUAAA